GAUGAAGAACGCAGCGAAAUGCGAUAAGUAAUGUGAAUUGCAGAAUUCAGUGAAUCAUCGAAUUUUUGAACGCACAUUGCGCCCAUUAGCAUUCUAGUGGGCAUGCCUGUUCGAGCGUCAUUUCAACCCUUAAGCUCUGUUGCUUAGCGUUGGGAGCCUACAGUACUGUAGCUCCCCAAAGUUAGUGGCGGAGUCGGUUUCACACUCUAGACGUAGUAAUUUUUUCUCGUCUGUAGUUGAGCCGGUCCCCUGCCGUAAAACACCCAAUUUAUCAAGGUUGACCUCGGAUCAGGUAGGAAUACCCGCUGAACUUAAGCAUAUCAAUAAGCGGAGGA
rnacentral:misc_RNA from 1 species